GAUGAACGCUGGCGGCGUGCCUAAUACAUGCAAGUCGAGCGAACAGACGAGGAGCUUGCUCCUCUGACGUUAGCGGCGGACGGGUGAGUAACACGUGGAUAACCUACCUAUAAGACUGGGGUAACUUCGGGAAACCGGAGCUAAUACCGGAUAAUAUAUUGAACCGCAUGGUUCAAUAGUGAAAGACGGUUUUGCUGUCACUUAUAGAUGGAUCCGCGCCGCAUUAGCUAGUUGGUAAGGUAACGGCUUACCAAGGCAACGAUGCGUAGCCGACCUGAGAGGGUGAUCGGCCACACUGGAACUGAGACACGGUCCAGACUCCUACGGGAGGCAGCAGUAGGGAAUCUUCCGCAAUGGGCGAAAGCCUGACGGAGCAACGCCGCGUGAGUGAUGAAGGUCUUCGGAUCGUAAAACGCUGUUAUUAGGGAAGAACAAAUGUGUAAGUAACUAUGCACGUCUUGACGGUACCUAAUCAGAAAGCCACGGCUAACUACGU
rnacentral:rRNA from 1 species